rnacentral:rRNA from 1 species
UGACGAGAAGACCCCGUCAAACUUUAAUUAUCAUAUAUAAAAGUGAAAAUACAAAAUAUAAAUUAAUUUUAGUUGGGGCAACUGGGAGGGAUAAAAAUCUUUUAUUAAAUCAUUUAUAGUAAUAUUUAUAUUUAUGAUCCAAAUUAGUUAAUUUUGAACUUAGAAU